rnacentral:rRNA from 1 species
CAGUCGCCGCGGUAAUACGGAGGGGGCUAGCGUUGUUCGGAAUUACUGGACGAAAAGCGCACGUAGGCGGCUUGGUAAGUUAGAGGUGAAAGCCCGGAGCUCAACUCCGGAAUUGCCUUUAAGACUGCCGAGCUAGUAGGUGAGAGAGGUAAGUGGAAUUCCGAGUGUAGAGGUGAAAUUCGUAGAUAUUCGGAAGAACACCAGUGGCGAAGGCGGCUUACUGGCUCAUUCUAGACGCUGAGGUGCGAAAGCGUGGGGAGCAAACAGGAUUAGAUACCCGCGUAGUCCCUGUCUCUUAUAC